rnacentral:rRNA from 1 species
GAGUAACACGUAAGCAACCUGCCUAUCAGAGGGGAANAACAGUUAGAAAUGACUGCUAAUACCGCAUAUGCCUUAGCAACACAUGUUGCAAAAGGGAAAGGAGCAAUCCGCUGAUAGAUGGGCUUGCGUCUGAUUAGAUAGUUGGUGGGGUAACGGCUUACCAAGUCAACGAUCAGUAGCCGGACUGAGAGGUUGAACGGCCACAUUGGGACUGAGAUACGGCCCAGACUCCUACGGGAGGCAGCAGUCGGGAAUAUUGCGCAAUGGAGGAAACUCUGACGCAGUGACGCCGCGUGCAGGAAGAAGGUUUUCGGAUUGUAAACUUCUGUUCUUAGUGAAGAAUAAUGACGGUAGCUAAGGAGCAAGCCACGGCUAACUACGUGCCAGCAGCCGCGGUAAUACGUAGGUGGCAAGCGUUGUCCGGAAUUACUGGGUGUAAAGGGAGCGUAGGCGGGAUGCCAAGUCAGCUGUGAAAACUAUGGGCUUAACCUGUAGACUGCAGUUGAAACUGGUAUUCUUGAGUGAAGUAGAGGUUGGCGGAAUUCCGAGUGUAGCGG